GAAGAGGAGCCUGCGGCGGAUUAGCUUGUUGGUAAGGUAACGGCUUACCAAGGCGACGAUCCGUAGCCGGCCUGAGAGGGCGGUCGGCCACACUGACACUGACAUACGGGUCAGACUCCUACGGGAGGCAGCAGUCGGGAAUUUUGGGCAAUGGGCGAAAGCCUGACCCAGCAACGCCGCGUGAAGGAUGAAAUCCCUCGGGAUGUAAACUUCGCAAGAAUGGGAAGAAUAAGUAGGGGACAAUACCCCCUAUGAUGACGGUACCAUUUGUAAGCUCCGGCUAACUCCGUGCCAGCAGCCGCGGUAAUACGGGGGGAGCAAGCGUUGUUCGGAUUUACUGGGCGUAAAGGGCGCGUAGGCGGCCAGCACAAGUCAGUUGUGAAAUCUCCGGGCUUAACUCGGAAAGGUCAACUGAUACUGUGCGGCUAGAGUGCGGAAGGGGCAACUGGAAUUCUCGGUGUAGCGGUGAAAUGCGUAGAUAUCGAGAGGAACACCUGCGGCGAAGGCGGGUUGCUGGGCCGACACUGACGCUGAGGCGCGAAAGCCAGGGGAGCGAACGGGAUUAGAUACCCCGGUAGUCCUGGCCUUAAACGAUGGAUGCUUGGUGUCUGGGGUUUUAUAGUCCCCGGGUGCCGUAGCUAACGCGUUAAGCAUCCCGCCUGGGGAGUACGGUCGCAAGACUGAAACUCAAAGGAAUUGACGGGGACCCGCACAAGCGGUGGAGCAUGUGGUUCAAUUCGACGCAACGCGAAGAACCUUACCUGGGCUAGAAUGCCUCUGACAACUCCAGAGAUGGAGCCUCUUAGGGAAACCUAGGCAGAGUGCAAGGUGCUGCAUGGCUGUCGUCAGCUCGUGUCGUGAGAUGUUGGGUUAAGUCCCGCAACGAGCGCAACCCUUAUCUUUAGUUGCUAGCGGUUCGGCCGAGCACUCUAGAGAGACUGCC
rnacentral:rRNA from 1 species